AACGAACGCUGGCGGCAGGCUUAACACAUGCAAGUCGAACGCAUCCUUCGGGGUGAGUGGCAGACGGGUGAGUAACGCGUGGGAACGUGCCCUUCAGUUCGGAAUAACCCAGGGAAACUUGGGCUAAUACCGGAUACGUGCGAGAGCAGAAAGAUUUAUCGCUGAAGGAUCGGCCCGCGUCUGAUUAGCUAGUUGGUAGGGUAAUGGCCUACCAAGGCGACGAUCAGUAGCUGGUCUGAGAGGAUGAUCAGCCACAUUGGGACUGAGACACGGCCCAAACUCCUACGGGAGGCAGCAGUGGGGAAUAUUGGACAAUGGGCGCAAGCCUGAUCCAGCCAUGCCGCGUGAGUGAUGAAGGCCUUAGGGUUGUAAAGCUCUUUCGUCCGGGACGAUAAUGACGGUACCGGAAGAAGAAGCCCCGGCUAACUUCGUGCCAGCCGCCGCCGUAAUAC
rnacentral:rRNA from 1 species